CCUACGGGUGGCAGCAGUGAGGAAUAUUGGUCAAUGGGCGCGAGCCUGAACCAGCCAAGUCGCGUGAGGGAAGACGGCCCUACGGGUUGUAAACUGCUUUUGUACAAGGGUAAACCUGAAUACGUGUAUUCAGCUGAAAGUACUGUACGAAUAAGGAUCGGCUAACUCCGUGCCAGCAGCCGCGGUAAUACGGAGGAUCCAAGCGUUAUCCGGAUUUAUUGGGUUUAAAGGGUGCGUAGGCGGAAUGCCAAGUCAGCGGUAAAAUCGCGGGGCUCAACCUCGCUCCGCCGUUGAAACUGGCGUUCUUGAGUGGGCGAGAAGUAUGCGGAAUGCGUGGUGUAGCGGUGAAAUGCAUAGAUAUCACGCAGAACUCCGAUUGCGAAGGCAGCAUACCGGCGCCCAACUGACGCUGAAGCACGAAAGCGUGGGUAUCGAACAGGAUUAGAUACCCCAGUAGUC
rnacentral:rRNA from 1 species